AAUCUGUCAAAGCUGCUAACAAGGAAGCUGAGGAGCAAGACAAGAGGGAUGGCUAUCGAUAGGCAUCGAAUAUCUCGGUGAGCUCCAUAUAUGCAAUCAUGAUAAACCAGUGAAUCAUGUCAUUUGUAGUUGUAAUUACCUGCAAACAAAUAAUUUCAUGUAUGAAGGUAUAUGUAAUAUGCCUCUGUAUAAUCAAAUACCAAUCACCCUAGAAGAAAGCCACACACCCUAGUAUGAAAAGAAUUAUUCAAACUUUUGAUGGAAAGAAGAAUUUGUCAACAUAUAUAUAUAUAUAUAUAUAUAUAUGGAGAAAUUGUUGGUGUUGAUCAGAAGGAGGAGAAAAUGUAACGCUGUCGGCAGAAAAGAGCACUUGGGUUGGAUUGACCAA